rnacentral:rRNA from 1 species
GGACGAGAAGCUUGCUUCUCUGAUGUUAGCGGCGGACGGGUAAGUAACACGUGGAUAACCUACCUAUAAGACUGGGAUAACUUCGGGAAACCGGAGCUAAUACCGGAUAAUAUUUUGAACCGCAUGGUUCAAAAGUAAAAGACGGUCUUGCUGUCACUUAUAGAUGGAUCCGCGCUGCAUUAGCUAGUUGGUAAGGUAACGGCUUACCAAGGCAACGAUGCAUAGCCGACCUGAGAGGGUGAUCGGCCACACUGGAACUGAGACACGGUCCAGACUCCUACGGGAGGCAGCAGUAGGGAAUCUUCCGCAAUGGGCGAAAGCCUGACGGAGCAACGCCGCGUGAGUGAUGAAGGUCUUCGGAUCGUAAAACUCUGUUAUUAGGGAAGAACAUAUGUGUAAGUAACUGUGCACAUCUUGACGGUACCUAAUCAGAAAGCCACGGCUAACUACGUGCCAGCAGCCGCGGUAAUACGUAGGUGGCAAGCGUUAUCCGGAAUUAUUGGGCGUAAAGCGCGCGUAGGCGGUUUUUUAAGUCUGAUGUGAAAGCCCACGGCUCAACCGUGGAGGGUCAUUGGAAACUGGAAAACUUGAGUGCAGAAGAGGAAAGUGGAAUUCCAUGUGUAGCGGUGAAAUGCGCAGAGAUAUGGAGGAACACCAGUGGCGAAGGCGACUUUCUGGUCUGUAACUGACGCUGAUGUGCGAAAGCGUGGGGAUCAAACAGGAUUAGAUAUCCUGGUAGUCCACGCCGUAAACGAUGAGUGCUAAGUGUUAGGGGGUUUCCGCCCCUUAGUGCUGCAGCUAAC